GAGUUUCCACUUUUCGACAAUGACUUCUAACAAUCUAUUUCUGGUCAUUUCACAAUUAUAAAAGGUGGUGUCACAACUGCGUCUGCUGUUAGUGAUUUGUGAUUAAUUGGUGACGCUGUUCUGUUGGUAAACAUGAAAAUUUUAGUUUCUUUGAUUCUUGUGGUGUUCGCAUUUCUGGUGUGUAUCAACGCUGAAGAUGACAAAGUCUUUCCGAUACGUAAUCGGGGUAGAAUAGAGCACGGAUCCGACGGAGUGUUCUACGUUGACAACUAUCCACUUGAUUGUUUGGCGGACGCACCCUGUCUACACAUUUCAAAGAGACCUUCAUAAAAUAGCCACACGAGUUAAAGUUGUUAAUUGAAUGUAAACGAAAUUUUCGACAAAUUAAAGAAAAUUCUGACAGCUUAUGGUCUUAUA